CGCCACGCCAAGCCGGCGCGCCCCGCUCCCGGCAGGCAACGGAGGCGGAGCCGCCGCAGGGCGGCGGGCGGGAGCUGGAGUGCGCAGCGGCCGUGCAAGCAGCGACUGAGUUGUUUUAAAGGAUGAAGUGGCUGAUCUGCUAAGAAUGCAUCUUGAUAGGAUGAGAUGCUGGGCCAGAAGACCAGAAGCUAUCGAGUGUUGUCCAUACCAGACUUUGCAAUUGAAGACAAGGAACAGAUCUGGAAUUUGUGGACUAAGGACUUGUACGUUACCACACUUGAUUUCUUCAGAUUAACUGUAAAUUUUCAAUAAUGGCAAUACACUCAUUCUGCCAUUUGGAGGAGCCUGUGCCACAGAAUAAUGAUCUGAAGAAAACUCACUUGUUUGUGAGGAGAAGUCUUCAAUUGGGAAGUAGUAUCAGUGCAGUUAAGAGGUUCUUUGUCAUAUUCAGGCCCUUACCCUGCCACUGGAUUUGUUCAAAUAGACCUCGGUAGCCAUGGGGCCUGACUGAGUCGAUGGGACUCUGGAUGACUGCAAGUUUCUACUCUGAAGAUCUGAUUGUAGGCCUGAAUCUAAAUUUCUUUUUUUAUUUCCCUAAUUGCUUCUAAUUAAUGAAAAGUAUCCCAUAAAAUGUUAUUGUCUUUGAGUCUCAUGCAUAUCUGCUUUCAUGGCAUUCAGGCUGUGUGUGCAUGGGAUGUUGUCAGACAUCUUUAAAAUAUUUCUGUUAUGUCAUGCACCAAAACCUCAUGAUUGCCAUGAUUAUUGUGUUAUAUUUUUACAUUGAAUGGCUUCUUACCUAAAAUGGAGGAGAUCAUCACCUGUGUCUUCAGUCGUAUUUCUCUUCACUCAGAUACUGAAGUUAGAGGAACUGUUGGAAUUCAGGUUAUUUUUAGAGAAGUUGGUAGAUUUGUUCUUUAUUCUUUGGGCACCAAGUCCAUCUGUUUUAUUUUAUUUUUCAAAAUGCUA